rnacentral:rRNA from 1 species
GUGAACAUACCUAAAACGUUGCUUCGGCGGGAACAGACGGCCCUGUAACAACGGGCCGCCCCCGCCAGAGGACCCCUAACUCUGUUUUUAUAAUGUUUUUCUGAGUAAACAAGCAAAUAAAUUAAAACUUUCAACAACGGAUCUCUUGGCUCUGGCAUCGAUGAAGAACGCAGCGAAAUGCGAUAAGUAAUGUGAAUUGCAGAAUUCAGUGAAUCAUCGAAUCUUUGAACGCACAUUGCGCCCGCCAGUAUUCUGGCGGGCAUGCCUGUUCGAGCGUCAUUACAACCCUCAGGCCCCCGGGCCUGGCGUUGGGGAUCGGCAGAAGCCCCCUGUGGGCACACGCCGUCCCUCAAAUACAGUGGCGGUCCCGCCGCAGCUUCCAUUGCGUAGUAGCUAACACCUCGCAACUGGAGAGCGGCGCGGCCAUGCCGUAAAACACCCAACUUCUGAAUGUUGACCUCGAAUCAGGUAGGAAUACCCGCUGAACUUAAGCAUAUCAA